GAUGAACGCUGGCGGCGUGCUUAACACAUGCAAGUCGAACGAGAAGUGAAGACGGAAACCUUCGGGCGGAAGGCUUUAUUUCGAGUGGCGGACGGGUGAGUAACGCGUGGGUAACCUGCCUCAUACAGGGGGAUAGCAGUUGGAAACGACUGUUAAUACCGCAUAAGACCACAGCACCGCAUGGUGCGGGGGUAAAAACUCCGGUGGUAUGAGAUGGACCCGCGUUCGAUUAGCCAGUUGGCGGGGUAACGGCCCACCAAAGCGACGAUCGAUAGCCGAUCUGGGAGGAUGACCGGCCACAUUGGGACUGAGACACGGCCCAAACUCCUACGGGAGGCAGCAGUGGGGAAUAUUGCACAAUGGGGGAAACCCUGAUGCAGCGACGCCGCGUGAGUGAAGAAGUAUUUCGGUAUGUAAAGCUCUAUCAGCAGGGAAGAAAAUGACGGUACCUGAGUAAGAAGCCCCGGCUAACUACGUGC
rnacentral:rRNA from 1 species